rnacentral:rRNA from 1 species
AUUGAACGCUGGCGGCAGGCUUAACACAUGCAAGUCGAGCGGGGUGAUGGUGCUUGCACUAUCACUUAGCGGCGGACGGGUGAGUAAUGCUUAGGAAUCUGCCUAUUAGUGGGGGACAACAUCUCGAAAGGGAUGCUAAUACCGCAUACGUCCUACGGGAGAAAGCAGGGGAUCACUUGUGACCUUGCGCUAAUAGAUGAGCCUAAGUCGGAUUAGCUAGUUGGUGGGGUAAAGGCCUACCAAGGCGACGAUCUGUAGCGGGUCUGAGAGGAUGAUCCGCCACGCUGGGACUGAGACACGGCCCAGGCUCCUACGGGAGGCAGCAGUGGGGAAUAUUGGACAAUGGGGGGAACCCUGUUCCAGCCAUGCCGCGUGUGGGAGGAAGGCCUUAUGGUUGUAAAGCACUUUAAGCGAGGAGGAGGCUAUUUUGGUUAAUACCCAAGAUGAGUGGACGUUACUCGCAGAAUAAGCACCGGCUAACUACGUGCCAGCCGCCGCCGUAA